rnacentral:lncRNA from 1 species
GUGUUCUCAAGUAUAACAACAUAGUGGGAUCAUUUGUCAACAUAGUGGGAUCAUUUUGCAGAUUCCAGCAAACAACAUAGUGGGAUCAUUUGUCAAGGCCAGCAUCAGAGUGCUAAUUUACAGGUAUAAAUAGAUAAAAGAUUCAGAGAGUAGCUCUUUUCUUACCAGCAUCAUGAAGGUUGGGAAUAUCUUUGUAGAAAACAAAAAGAUUAGGAAACUGAAUCUAAGGACCAGGGCUAAACCUCUGUACUUUACUGUCUUUAACAUGGUAUAAAAUACCUGAACUGAAUUUGUGGGGCCUCUAAAAUUAAACUCAAGAUUCUGGUGUUUAACCCUAUUGUGUUGCUUCUAUAAAUAAUAUAAAAGCUGUGAAAAAGAAAUCUGUGGAGUUGGCACUUUACAUAAGGUUGUAGAUCAUUUUACAUUGCUGGCUUUAACAUGAUACCAAUUGGCACCUGAACCUUUCUUUUGGAGAGUUCUCUGAACUUCAAUGAAGCAUAAAGUAGAAUGCGAAGCUUGUCUUGAGGCUCAUCUUUGAGACAGGUUAUCUGUGUCGGUUGUCGGAGCCUUGGAGGUUACUGCUGAGAGCUGUCACAGCAGUGCGUGGCGUCAGUGAUGGCCAAGCUGCUAGUUCAACUACUGGCCAACUAGUGGCCCUUGUUAUCAAAGUAGUCUUGCCACAUGUUCAU